UGGUUCUGGCAUCGAUGAAGAACGCAGCGAAAUGCGAUAAGUAAUGUGAAUUGCAGAAUUCAGUGAAUCAUCGAAUCUUUGAACGCACAUUGCGCCCCUCGGUACUCCGGGGGGCACGCCUGUCCGAGCGUCAUUGAAAACCAUCAAGCCUGGCUUGGUCUUGGGCGCGGUCUCGGGACCCGCCCGCAACCCGUCGGCGGUGCCGGCCCGGCCCUGAGCGUAGCAAGACUCUCGCUCGGGGGCCGCGGCGGCGCCAGCCGGGAGCAUAACACCUCAAGUUUUGACCUCGGAUCAGGUGGGGAUACCCGCUGA
rnacentral:misc_RNA from 1 species